rnacentral:rRNA from 1 species
CAGCAGCCGCGGGAAUACGUAGGUGGCAAGCGUUGUCCGGAAUUAUUGGGCGUAAAGGGCUCGCAGGCGGUUUCUUAAGUCUGAUGUGAAAGCCCCCGGCUCAACCGGGGAGGGUCAUUGGAAACUGGGAAACUUGAGUGCAAGAGGGGAGAGUGGAAUUCCAUGUGUAGCGGUGAAAUGCGUAGAUAUAUGGAGGAACACCGGUGGCGAAAGCGGCUCUCUGGCUUGUAACUGACGCUGAGGCUCAAAAGCGUGGGGAGCAAACAGGAUUAGAUACCCCCGUAGUCCCUGUCUCUUAUAC